CUAUAAACGGGAUUGAAAUGAAAAUCCUUUUUGCUGCGAAGCACAAAAAGAUUGCAAUGGAAAGCCCGGCUAUCG
rnacentral:sRNA from 1 species